GGAGGAGGAGGGGGACGAGGAGGGGAGGAGCGGCGGGAGGAGGAGGGGGACGAGGAGGAGGACGGCGGACGGGUGGUUUCCCCCCCACCCCCACCCCCAAGAGGCGGAGCCGCGCGGGUCCGGGCGCCGGGCCGCGGCCACCCGCAGGCGGACACACUCGGACGCGCUCGCACCCCCUCCCCUCCUCUGCCGCCCACCUGGCCCGCCCCGCCCCCCUUUCCGAUCCCUCCCCUCCUACGGGACCCCGGGCGCGCCCCAGCCGGCCCCCGGCACCUCGCUGACGGCCCGCCGAGAUAACGCGCCCCCUCUUCCCGCUCCGGUGGCCGAUUUUCGGAGGAGAGGAAAUUUCACUUUUUCACGGCCGCCGCCGACCCCGCCCCUCCCUUCAGCCCCAUCCCCUUCCCGAGCAGGGCUGAUUUCUACCUCCUGGUGCGGGUGUCUGGGGAGGCGGUGUUGCCAUGGUUUGCCUUGACCUUGGCAAAGGAGGGGAGGGAUAUUGCCCUGGCUUAAGCUACGUUUGAGCUUCCUCAGGUUUCCUUGGCUCCCUGGACCCAGCCCUCGGUGAUAUCAUUUGCCACAUUUUCCUUGGGUGAGCCUGGCUUUCCCGCCUGAAUGUAAGUUACCCAGGGGCUGACACCUGGCCUCAUUCAUAUGUGUACCCCCAAAGCCUAGCCCAGAGCAGGUGCCUGAUAAAUUCUUAGUGCCAUGCAUGGCUCUAAACCCUAAGCAUGGAUUGCCUCACUUCAACUCCCGUUCCUCAUGAGGUAGGUCCCCUCCUGAUGUAAAUGCCAGGCCCAUAUUUACACCCCAGUAGUCUAGCAAUAGAGCUCACCCUCAUAACCCUUAAGGGAUACUGCCUCUAGAAUAAGAUUAAAAGGGGAGCAGAUUCUACACUCACUGCCCCUGACUGCACCACCCUCCUGAAGCAUGCUUGAGUUCAUACCCACUGACAUUUAUUGGGCACCAGCCCACUAGGCAUUGUCCUAAUCCUGUUAAAGGAAUAACGAGAUACGUAUUAUCCUGCACAUUUUAUGGAAACUAAAGCCCUGGCAGAUGAAGACUUGCCCCAGGUCCCACAGGACAAGGACUGAAGGGAGGGGUGUGUGACACCCGCUUUCGGUCAACACUGUCCUAUAGCCCUUCUGGAGUGCAGAUGUCAUGAGGGAGGGAGCCUCCCUCCCUUCCAAGGAAGGUCUUUCUCAUCGUUUGCCCUCUCCACAAAGGUAAAAAGACAGCAUCAGAAAUGGACAGUUGCUCCCUGGAGGUGACCAAACCAAGGCUGGAUGAUCUCUGAUCAGAGCUGCGGGGAAGAGGGCUCAUUUAUUGAGUGGACUAUUUGACUUGAUAAGAUUUGAAGACCUUUCAACUCUAAGAUUAUAUGAAUCUUUCCUUUCUCACCGGGAACACGAGCUUUUAGUCAUUUUGGUUUGGUGAGUGUCAGGUAAAGAAGAGAAUCAGCCAAGAAUGUGUCAUAGGAGGACUGAGACCGAGUUGGGACAGUCGAAAAGAAUGAACCCAGAAUACAGUUUUAUUCGUUUGGUUUUGGUUAAGUCAAACUGUGAAACACGGAAAAUACACAGACUGUACUAUUCACAGGAUGAACAGCCACUUGCAUUUGUCCAAAAUGUGUAAUACACAACCACGGCAGAAGAGGAAAGGAGGCAUUCAGAGAUAUGCAAUUGAAGUGCUUAAUUCAUGGCGAAUCGCUGUGCUGUGGCAGGUUGGAAUCCUGUGGCAGGGUCAUCUAUUUCUACGUGAAACCACUGGCAGUAGCCCUCUUUGCACAUCAGUCUACAGUGUCGCACCUGUUACAGCUCCAGUUUCCCGACGUGGGACAGCUUCUGGACCUUCAGCUAUAUGCCCGUCCCCAACCCUAGUGAUCAUAGCUUUGUAUCAAUUUUCUUCCCUCAUCUAAGGCUGCCCCUUCUGGUUUUCUGCUUGUCUUUCCCCCCCAGGUCCCUCUCCUUUUGCUAUGCCAUACAUGCUGGUGUUCUUAGGGGUUCGGUGUACUUCUCUCUUACUUCCUCAUUCUAGACGCGAUCCCGUUGCCACAUGCUCCCCAAAUACAUGCCUGAACUAUGA